rnacentral:rRNA from 1 species
GAUACCCUAUUAUAUUUAAAUAAAUUUAGGUAAUACCAAAAUUUAGAAAAACCUAUUUAUUUUGGCGGCAACAAUUUUAUUAAAGGAACUUGUUUAAUAAUCGAUAACCCACGUUUAUUUUAACUUGAAUUAAGUAAUUUAUAUACCGCCAUCUUAAGAAUUAACUUCAAUAAAUUAUUCUAAAUAAAUAAAUUUGUAAGAAGUUAGGUCAAGGUGUAAUUUACAUUUAAGAAAAAAUGAGUUACAAUAAACAUAAUUUAAGAAUUAUUAAUUAAAAAAUUAAUAUGAAAAAGGAUUUAAAUGUAAUAUUUUAAAUAAAAAUCUAAUAUGAACUAAAAAGAUGUGCACACAUC